rnacentral:rRNA from 1 species
CGUGUAGGUGGGAGAUUAAGUCAGAUGUGAAAGCCCGCAGCUUAACUGCGGUACUGCAUCUGAAACUAGUCUUCUUGAGUGCUGGAGAGGAAAGCGGAAUUCCUAGUGUAGCGGUGAAAUGCGUAGAUAUUAGGAGGAACACCAGUGGCGAAGGCGGCUUUCUGGACAGUAACUGACACUGAGGCGCGAAAGCGUGGGGAGCAAACA